rnacentral:miRNA from 1 species
GGUAAACUGCACAUUGUAUCGCU